GAUGAACGCUGGCGGCGUGCUUAACACAUGCAAGUCGAACGAUGAAGCCCAGCUUGCUGGGUGGAUUAGUGGCGAACGGGUGAGUAACACGUGAGUAACCUGCCCCCGACUCUGGGAUAAGCCCGGGAAACUGGGUCUAAUACCGGAUAUUACCUUUGACCGCAUGGUUGUUGGUGGAAAGAUUUAUCGGUGGGGGAUGGACUCGCGGCCUAUCAGCUUGUUGGUGAGGUAAUGGCUCACCAAGGCGACGACGGGUAGCCGGCCUGAGAGGGUGACCGGCCACACUGGGACUGAGACAAGGCCCAGACUCCUACGGGAGGCAGCAGUGGGGAAUAUUGCACAAUGGGCGCAAGCCUGAUGCAGCGGCGCCGCGUGAGGGAUGACGGCCUUCGGGUUGUAAACCUCUUUCAGUAGGGAAGAAGCGAAAGUGACGGUACCUGCAGAAGAAGCGCCGGCUAACUACGUGCCAGCAGCCGCCGUAA
rnacentral:rRNA from 1 species